CAUAAAACAAAUAUACAUUUCAUAACACGUCACUGGACAAACCUCGGUCAGUUGAUUUCCUCUGUGCAGUGCAGACGAACAUCAGUCAGCAAGUCAAGGUGGUGAGAUGGACUGGUGUCCUUUGUGACUCUGCUGGUUCUUCUGAGGAAACACCACCGUCUCUCCACACUGUCACCAUCUGUGAGCACAAACUGCUGCUCUGCCAGCAUCUUGGAUUUGGCUGCAGGUGCCCCUGUACAUCCCUCAACAUGUGGGUACCAUUUAAUCAGACUUCUUCCUGAGCUUUGCUUCAUCAAAGGUGACCAAAGGUGGCAUCCCGUGUCACAGUCUUAUCAUCAUCCAGAAGAAACAUUUGAAGAAACAUCAUGGAGAAGAAACAUUUACACGCCUCCUGGUUUUGUUUUCUGAUCCUGCAAAAAAACUGAGGACAACAAAGCCCAGAGAACACGAGAUACACAAUAUCCAACAUUCAGACUCAACAGCCUCCAUAAAUGAAGAGCACCAGGUUGGUUCAGUUAUAGUAGAUAAUAAUGGAUUGGAUUUAUAUAGCGCUUUUCAAGGCACCCAAAGCGCUUUACAAUGCCACUAUUCAUUCACUCUCACAUUCACACACUGGUGGAGGCAGCUACGGUAGAUAUAAGCAUACUUCACAUUACUGGGUAUGAAUAAUAACGAGGAGGCAAACUUUGAAGAUGCAGAGCACGAUGUCCCAUCAUCAGACUGUAAAAAAAAAAAAAAAAAAAACCAUCCACCAGGCUUCUUUGUUGCCAAAACUGAUGAUUCUCCUAUCAGGGAUCAGUAGCGUGUAUUAACCUGUGCUAUAAGCAGCAGUCACUGAAAUAUUACUGUUUCCGAUAAGAAAUCUAGGACAUAAAAGCCAGGGUGGGAGGGAUCUCUACAAACUGACUUACCUCUGCAAGUGUGAAGCUCAACAAAAAUCUGACUCUCCAGUCACAGACAAACAAAAAACUCCAGCUGGGAGAUAGAAAACGCUGUCUGGGUCUUGCUGGAUGUUGCUGGUCAGAGUCCACACAUUAGCAGAGCGCUUCUUUGUCCCACUGACCCAUGUGGACAGCGACUGUGGAGAACUGUUCUGGAAAACAGAAAAGAGAAUUAAAAUAACAAAAAGCCAAACAGGAUUUCCACAAAGACUCUCUUGGAAUCAGCAAUCAAAAAAAUCACUGGUUCAUAUUUCAAUUAAAUAUGAACAGGUUCCUUAAAUGUACGCAGUUCAGAUCUGAUUUAAUU
ensembl:lncRNA